rnacentral:rRNA from 1 species
UACGGAGGGGGCUAGCGUUGUUCGGAAUUACUGGGCGUAAAGCGCACGUAGGCGGACUGUUAAGUCGGGGGUGAAAUCCUGGGGCUCAACCUCAGAAUUGCCUCCGAUACUGGCAGUCUCGAGUGCGGGAGAGGUGAGUGGAAUUCCCAGUGUAGAGGUGAAAUUCGUAGAUAUUGGGAAGAACACCAGUGGCGAAGGCGGCUCACUGGCCCGUAACUGACGCUGAGGUGCGAAAGCGUGGGUAGCAAACAGG